AUUGAACGCUGGCGGCAGGCCUAACACAUGCAAGUCGACCGAGUGGCGGACGGGUUAUUAAUGUCCGGGAAACUGCCUGAUUGAUGGGGAUAACUACUGGAAACGGUAGCUACUACCGCCUACCUUCAGAUGUGCCCAGAUGGGAUUAGCUCGUUGGUGGGGUAACGGCUCACCAAGGCGACGUUCCCUAGCUGGUCUGAGAGGAUGACCAGCAAAACUGGAACUGAGACACGGUCCAGAGUCCUACGGGAGGCAGCAUGGGGGAAGAUUGCACAAUGGGCGAAAGCCUGAUGAAGCCAUGCCGCGUGGAUGAAGAGGGACGUCGGGGUGUAAAGUACGUUAAGCGGGGAGGCGUUACCCGCAGAAGAAGCACCGGCUAACGCGGUGCCAGCAGCCGCGGUAAUUC
rnacentral:rRNA from 1 species